GCAGGAUCUUGCAAAGGAACUUCUAAACACUUUUACAGCAACAAAAAUGGGAAAAGCAUUUUUUACAAAUAGUGGAUCAGAAGCCAAUGAUACCCAGGUGCAGUUGGUAUGGUAUUAUAAUAAUGCACUUGGAAGACCAAAUAAGAAGAAAUUCAUAGCUCGGGCAAAAUCGUACCAUGGAUCAACCCUAAUAUCAGCUAA